CACACAGACACUCGCACCAAAACCACUGUUUCAUAGCCAUCCUCGAAGAGCACAACACGCUCACGCAUUUCCUCCGAUCGACGACGGACGGUUCUCCUCGGAAUGGCGAACGAAUCACACAACGAGGCGUGGCUUGUCGAGAACGGCGGCCGCGGCUGCGGCGGCCCCAAGGGGUCGAGCAAGGAGAUGAGGCCCGGCCGGACCGCGCACAACAUGUCGUCAUCAUCACUGCGCAAGAAGUCCGACCUCGCCCUCGUAUCGAAGGUCCCAUGCGGGUCCCUCCGGAGGCUCCUCGCCAACCUCCAGGAAGUCGUCCUCGGGACAAAGCUCGCCGUCCUCUUCCUAGCCAUCCCCCUCGCCGUCGUCGCCGAGGUUUACAGCUUCGGAAGACCAUGGGUGUUUGCUCUGAGCCUUCUUGGACUCACCCCUCUUGCCGAACGAGUCAGCUUCUUGACAGAGCAAAUCGCUUUCUACACGGGGCCCACAGUGGGAGGGCUUCUGAAUGCAACCUGUGGCAACGCAACCGAGCUGAUCAUAGCCAUAUUCGCCCUGAGCCAGCACAAGAUUGAGGUGGUGAAGUACUCUCUCUUGGGCUCCGUCCUCUCCAACCUCCUGCUCGUUCUCGGCACUUCGCUGCUGUGCGGCGGCCUCGCCAACCUCCGGAAGGAGCAAAAAUACGACCGGCGACAAGCCGACGUGAACUCCCUCUUGCUGUUGCUCGCGUUGCUGUGCCACCUGCUGCCAAUGCUGCUCCGGUGCGCCGGUGCAGGCUCGGCCGUGUCGACGGUGGACGCGACUCUCAACCUCUCGAGAGCGAGCAGCGUGGUCAUGCUCGCCGCUUACGUCGUCUACAUCUUCUUCCAGCUCGUGACGCAUCGGCAAUUGUUCGAAGCACAGGACUCCGAUGAAGAAGAUGACACGGCUUCUGGUGAAGAGGCAGUGAUAGGGUUUUGGAGUGGAUUUGUUUGGCUGGUCGGGAUGACCCUCGUCAUCGCUUUGUUAUCCGAGUAUGUUGUGAACACAAUUGAGGCGGCGUCGACUUCGUGGGGCCUAUCCGUGAGCUUCCUCAGCAUAAUCCUGUUGCCGAUCGUCGGGAAUGCGGCCGAACACGCCGGAGCGGUCAUAUUCGCCUUCAAGAACAAGUUGGACAUAUCUUUAGGCGUCGCUCUGGGCUCGGCGACUCAGAUCGCGAUGUUCGUGGUUCCUUUAUGUGUGGUCGUUGCUUGGAUAAUGGGGAUUAAGAUGGACCUCAAUUUCAACCUUCUUGAGACUGGCUCCCUUGCUCUAUCCAUCAUCGUCACAGCUUUCACUUUGCAGGAUGGAACUUCCCACUACAUGAAAGGAUUGGUUCUCCUGCUUUGCUACGUAGUGAUUGCAGCAUGCUUUUUUGUCUUAAGAACGCCCCUGAGUGAUAGCAGAUCAAUCUAACAUGAACAACGUGGAGCUCAAACUACCGACUGAAGCAGUUUUCAGAGCUUAAACCGAGUCCGGGGCACCCGAUCGAUGAAGGAUGAAAUGAGAAGUCACCAAAACCGGGGAUUCGUCGAGAGGCGAGGAGGAUUUGUUAUUCUUUCAAUUGCGUGUUGUCGAUUCGUUUUUUUCGGUUCUGUUCGGUUCGAUUGCUUGGGAGGAGUUCCCGGGAGUUUUGCGUUAUGAGCCUUUUUUUCUUCCAUCUGAGAGUUUGUUCAUUCGUCUGGAUGGAGGUGUGGCCUAAAGGAAGGUGGGAUUCAUGGCUUGUGGUAUGUAUAUGGAUGGACCAUUUAGGGUUUUUGGUCGAGUGAAAAUUUUUGUUCCUCACUUCAACUUGGGGUGAUGUGGCAAUGCAAAAAUGGUGAAUAAACUAUAGUCAAUAAAUGGAAGUCUCUUCCCGUUUGUUAUUUAUAUUUU